UACGUAGGGUGCGAGCGUUGCCCGGAUUUAUUGGGCGUAAAGGGCGCGUAGGCGGCUCGGCACGUCCGUUGUGAAAUCGCCCGGCUCAACUGGGCGGGGUCAGCGGAUACGGUCGAGCUUGAGCAAGCUAGGGGGCAAUGGAAUUCCCGGUGUAGUGGUGGAAUGCGUAGAUAUCGGGAGGAACACCAGUGGCGAAGGCGGUUGCCUGGAGCUUUUGCUGACGCUGAGGCGCGGAAAGCGUGGGGGAGCGAGUCCGG
rnacentral:rRNA from 1 species